GCCGAACUUCUUCUAUUUCCCCAACCCGGCGAUUUCUCUCCUCAAACCGCCGCCCGAUCCCUUCUCCUUCUCCGCCGGUCGUCUUCUUCCUCUUCACAGCACCUCUGCCGGCCACCAGUUUUGACCUAGUGCCGCCUCGCUUGUGCCCUAGCACCGCCGGGUGACGAUUCUCCUCUGCCCUAGCGCCGUCCUCCGUCCUUUUCUCCGACGCCGACGGCGCCGCAGGGCAGAUCGCCAGCGAUUUGAGCCCGACUUUCCAGAUCCCGUGCCCCUCUCCUCUGUCGAUCCCAACAUCUUCUCCUCACGCCAACAAUGAACGCUGUUGGAUCGGGCCAGAUCCAGCGAUCGCCGGUGGGAAGAAAGGUCGUUAGGGUUCUGGAGGUGAGCAAUUGAUUUCCUCUUCCUCCUGGUUCUUCUCGGCACCGAUCAACGCUCGAGCGCUGGCCGCCGGCAUCCGAGACCCCCAGCCGAUCUCUCACUUUCAGCAGCAUCGGGUCUCCUUCCAUCAUUGUUCACUGAAGCUUAGAGAGAUGCCCUAGAUUCCACGAUGCCGUGCCCUAGCAGCGAUCCUUAAGGAAAAGGGGUCAGAUCAAUUCUUGUUGUUUUCCCCUGAUCGGAUCUUGAUCCUCUUCUUUGCCACGGAUUGGGGUCACAAGAUUGGAGAAACAGAGCAACUUGAUUAGGGCAUUGAGUUAGGCUGUUUGAUCUGUGAUCUCCACCAAUUGGUUCCAGUGAGGUUUUAUUUUGAUCAGUGAGGAGUGCUUGGGAUGUUGGGCAGAGACUAGAAGUUGGUUGCUUGAUUGGUGACCUCUUGCUUGAUUCGGUUGAUAUCGGUGAGGGAAGAUUUCAGCAAGAUUUUUUUUGUGUUGUGGGUUGCUCCUUGAUCCAGCAGCACCUUGGAUUCGACAGGACCUCCUUCAGACAGUACAUGUUUUGGCUAAGUUUGAGGACUUUGACGCGAGACGAGCCUCUCGACGUCGGAUUUGGGCCUGAUACGAUCCUUUCUAU